ensembl:lncRNA
GGGAGGCAGAGGGGAUGGGGGGGGCAGAAAGAUACUAGUAGAGAGAGAGAGAGUCAGGGAGGCAGAGGGGAUGGGGGCAGAAAGAUACUAGUAGAGAGAGAGAGAGAGAGUCAGGGAGGCAGAGGGGAUGGGGGGAGGGGAUGGGGGCAGAAAGAUACUAGUAGAGAGAGAGAGAGAGAGGGAUGGGGGCAGAGGGGAUGGGGGGCAGAAAGAUACUAGUAGAGAGAGAGUCAGGGAGGCAGAGGGGAUGGGGGGCAGAAAGAUACUAGUAGAGAGAGAGAGAGAGAGAGAGUCAGGGAGGCAGAGGG